GGGGAAUAUUGGACAAUGGGCGCAAGCCUGAUCCAGCAACGCCGCGUGUGUGAUGAAGGUCUUCGGAUUGUAAAGCACUUUCGACCGGGACGAAACCCUUCAGCCCAAUACGCUGAAGCUUGACGGUACCGGGAGAAGAAGCACCGGCUAACUCUGUGCCAGCAGCCGCGGUAAUACAGAGGGUGCAAGCGUUGUUCGGAAUUAUUGGGCGUAAAGCGCGUGUAGGCGGCUUUGCAAGUCGGGUGUGAAAGCCCUCGGCUCAACCGAGGAAGUGCGCCCGAAACUGCAGAGCUUGAGUGCCGGAGAGGAUGGCGGAAUUCCCCAAGUAGAGGUGAAAUUCGUAGAUAUGGGGAGGAACACCGGUGGCGAAGGCGGCCAUCUGGACGGUCACUGACGCUGAGACGCGAAAGCGUGGGGAGCAAAC
rnacentral:rRNA from 1 species